UUAAGCGACUAAGCGUACACGGUGGAUGCCCUGGCAGUCAGAGGCGAUGAAGGACGUGCUAAUCUGCGAUAAGCGUCGGUAAGGUGAUAUGAACCGUUAUAACCGGCGAUUUCCGAAUGGGGAAACCCAGUGUGAUUCGUCACACUAUCAUUAACUGAAUCCAUAGGUUAAUGAGGCGAACCGGGGGAACUGAAACAUCUAAGUACCCCGAGGAAAAGAAAUCAACCGAGAUUCCCCCAGUAGCGGCGAGCGAACGGGGAGGAGCCCAGAGCCUGAAUCAGUGUGUGUGUUAGUGGAAGCGUCUGGAAAGGCGCGCGAUACAGGGUGACAGCCCCGUACACAAAAAUGCACAUACUGUGAGCUCGAUGAGUAGGGCGGGACACGUGGUAUCCUGUCUGAAUAUGGGGGGACCAUCCUCCAAGGCUAAAUACUCCUGACUGACCGAUAGUGAACCAGUACCGUGAGGGAAAGGCGAAAAGAACCCCGGCGAGGGGAGUGAAAAAGAACCUGAAACCGUGUACGUACAAGCAGUGGGAGCCUCUUUAUGGGGUGACUGCGUACCUUUUGUAUAAUGGGUCAGCGACUUAUAUUCUGUAGCAAGGUUAACCGAAUAGGGGAGCCGAAGGGAAACCGAGUCUUAACUGGGCGUUAAGUUGCAGGGUAUAGACCCGAAACCCGGUGAUCUAGCCAUGGGCAGGUUGAAGGUUGGGUAACACUAACUGGAGGACCGAACCGACUAAUGUUGAAAAAUUAGCGGAUGACUUGUGGCUGGGGGUGAAAGGCCAAUCAAACCGGGAGAUAGCUGGUUCUCCCCGAAAGCUAUUUAGGUAGCGCCUCGUGAAUUCAUCUCCGGGGGUAGAGCACUGUUUCGGCAAGGGGGUCAUCCCGACUUACCAACCCGAUGCAAACUGCGAAUACCGGAGAAUGUUAUCACGGGAGACACACGGCGGGUGCUAACGUCCGUCGUGAAGAGGGAAACAACCCAGACCGCCAGCUAAGGUCCCAAAGUCAUGGUUAAGUGGGAAACGAUGUGGGAAGGCCCAGACAGCCAGGAUGUUGGCUUAGAAGCAGCCAUCAUUUAAAGAAAGCGUAAUAGCUCACUGGUCGAGUCGGCCUGCGCGGAAGAUGUAACGGGGCUAAACCAUGCACCGAAGCUGCGGCAGCGACACUAUGUGUUGUUGGGUAGGGGAGCGUUCUGUAAGCCUGCGAAGGUGGCCUGUGAGGGUUGCUGGAGGUAUCAGAAGUGCGAAUGCUGACAUAAGUAACGAUAAAGCGGGUGAAAAGCCCGCUCGCCGGAAGACCAAGGGUUCCUGUCCAACGUUAAUCGGGGCAGGGUGAGUCGACCCCUAAGGCGAGGCCGAAAGGCGUAGUCGAUGGGAAACAGGUUAAUAUUCCUGUACUUGGUGUUACUGCGAAGGGGGGACGGAGAAGGCUAUGUUGGCCGGGCGACGGUUGUCCCGGUUUAAGCGUGUAGGCUGGUUUUCCAGGCAAAUCCGGAAAAUCAAGGCUGAGGCGUGAUGACGAGGCACUACGGUGCUGAAGCAACAAAUGCCCUGCUUCCAGGAAAAGCCUCUAAGCAUCAGGUAACAUCAAAUCGUACCCCAAACCGACACAGGUGGUCAGGUAGAGAAUACCAAGGCGCUUGAGAGAACUCGGGUGAAGGAACUAGGCAAAAUGGUGCCGUAACUUCGGGAGAAGGCACGCUGAUAUGUAGGUGAAGCGACUUGCUCGUGGAGCUGAAAUCAGUCGAAGAUACCAGCUGGCUGCAACUGUUUAUUAAAAACACAGCACUGUGCAAACACGAAAGUGGACGUAUACGGUGUGACGCCUGCCCGGUGCCGGAAGGUUAAUUGAUGGGGUUAGCGCAAGCGAAGCUCUUGAUCGAAGCCCCGGUAAACGGCGGCCGUAACUAUAACGGUCCUAAGGUAGCGAAAUUCCUUGUCGGGUAAGUUCCGACCUGCACGAAUGGCGUAAUGAUGGCCAGGCUGUCUCCACCCGAGACUCAGUGAAAUUGAACUCGCUGUGAAGAUGCAGUGUACCCGCGGCAAGACGGAAAGACCCCGUGAACCUUUACUAUAGCUUGACACUGAACAUUGAGCCUUGAUGUGUAGGAUAGGUGGGAGGCUUUGAAGUGUGGACGCCAGUCUGCAUGGAGCCGACCUUGAAAUACCACCCUUUAAUGUUUGAUGUUCUAACGUUGGCCCCUGAUCGGGGUUGCGGACAGUGUCUGGUGGGUAGUUUGACUGGGGCGGUCUCCUCCUAAAGAGUAACGGAGGAGCACGAAGGUUGGCUAAUCCUGGUCGGACAUCAGGAGGUUAGUGCAAUGGCAUAAGCCAGCUUGACUGCGAGCGUGACGGCGCGAGCAGGUGCGAAAGCAGGUCAUAGUGAUCCGGUGGUUCUGAAUGGAAGGGCCAUCGCUCAACGGAUAAAAGGUACUCCGGGGAUAACAGGCUGAUACCGCCCAAGAGUUCAUAUCGACGGCGGUGUUUGGCACCUCGAUGUCGGCUCAUCACAUCCUGGGGCUGAAGUAGGUCCCAAGGGUAUGGCUGUUCGCCAUUUAAAGUGGUACGCGAGCUGGGUUUAGAACGUCGUGAGACAGUUCGGUCCCUAUCUGCCGUGGGCGCUGGAGAACUGAGGGGGGCUGCUCCUAGUACGAGAGGACCGGAGUGGACGCAUCACUGGUGUUCGGGUUGUCAUGCCAAUGGCACUGCCCGGUAGCUAAAUGCGGAAGAGAUAAGUGCUGAAAGCAUCUAAGCACGAAACUUGCCCCGAGAUGAGUUCUCCCUGACUCCUUGAGAGUCCUGAAGGAACGUUGAAGACGACGACGUUGAUAGGCCGGGUGUGUAAGCGCAGCGAUGCGUUGAGCUAACCGGUACUAAUGAACCGUGAGGCUUAACCUU
rnacentral:rRNA from 1 species